GUUUGAUCCUGACUCAGAACGAACGCUGGCGGCGUGCUUAACACAUACAAGUCCAACGUGAAAGGGGAGCAAUCCCCCGGUAAGGUGGCGAACGGGUGAGUAAUACAUGGGAAUCUGCCCUGGAGAUGGGGAUAUCCCUCCGAAAGGGGGGCUAAUACCGAAUACCGUCCGAGGUCUGGGAGGACUUUGGGGAAAGGGAGGCCUCUGGCAACACGCUUCCGCUCCGGGAGGAGCCCAUGGCCCAUCAGCUAGUUGGUAGGGUAACGGCCUACCAAGGCAAAGACGGGUAGCUGGUCUGAGAGGACGAUCAGCCACACUGGCACUGAGACACGGGCCAGACUCCUACGGGAGGCAGCAGUGAGGAAUUUUGCACAAUGGGGGCAACCCUGAUGCAGCAACGCCGCGUGUGGGAAGAAGGCUUUCGGGUUGUAAACCACUUUUGUGAAGGACGAAGCCCUGGGGCCAAAUACGCCCUGGGGGUGACGGUACUUUACGAAUAAGCCACGGCUAACUCUGUGCCAGCAGCCGCGGUAAGACAGGGGUGGCAAGCGUUGUUCGGAGU
rnacentral:rRNA from 1 species